GCAUAUCAAUAAGCGGAGGAAAAGAAACCAACCGGGAUUGCCUCAGUAACGGCGAGUGAAGCGGCAACAGCUCAAAUUUGAAAGCCCGCGGGCGUUGUAAUUUGCAGGCGGAUGUUUUGGGGCGGGCGCUGUCUACGUUCCUUGGAACAGGACGCCGCAGAGGGUGAGAGCCCCGUGCGAUGGCGCCUUUAACCGCGUAAAACUCCGCCGACGAGUCGAGUUGUUUGGGAAUGCAGCUCUAAGUGGGUGGUAAAUUCCAUCUAAAGCUAAAUACUGGCGAGAGACCGAUAGCGAACAAGUACAGUGAUGGAAAGAUGAAAAGCACUUUGAAAAGAGAGUGAAACAGCACGUGAAAUUGUUGAAAGGGAAGGGUAUGCGAUUAGCGGCCAGCAGGAGGUGCGUUCUCGCGAAAAGGCCGUGCACCGUCUUCGGACACCGUGCGCGGAGAUGGCGAGGGGGCGCCUGAGGUCUGCGACUCGAGGUUGCUGGCGUAAUGAUUGCAUACCACCCGUCUUGAAACACGGACA
rnacentral:rRNA from 1 species